GCUGCUGUCACCCCUGGCCGCUGCUGCCCUCCCCGCCGAGGUUCUACUGCUCUCCUUCUUAAGAAGGGUAGGAGGCACUCGGUCUCUCCUCACACCUCUCGCCUGAGGCCAGGCGCCAGGUGUCGCCUGAAGCCAGACAGCCGGUUUGGGAGCGAGCCUGAGGCCAACCAAUCAAUGGCUCAGACAGAUAAGCCAACAUGCAUCCCGCCGGAGCUGCCGAAGAUGCUGAAGGAGUUUGCCAAAGCCGCCAUUAGGGUGCAGCCGCAGGACCUCAUCCAGUGGGCAGCCGAUUAUUUUGAGGCCCUGUCCCGUGGAGAGACGCCUCCGGUGAGAGAGCGGUCUGAGCGAGUCGCUUUGUGUAACUGGGCAGAGCUAACACCUGAGCUGUUAAAGAUCCUGCAUUCUCAGGUUGCUGGCAGACUGAUCAUCUGUGCAGAGGAGCUGGCCCAGAUGUGGAAAGUGGUGAAUCUCCCAACAGAUCUGUUUAAUAGUGUGAUGAAUGUGGGUCGCUUCACGGAGGAGAUUGAGUGGCUGAAGUUUUUAGCCCUUGCUUGCAGCGCUCUGGGAGUUGUAAGUUAGCUUGACUGUUUUUUGUUCCUGAAGGGGAAAUCUCCCUCUGGGCCUGGAAGGGCAGUGCAUCUAUACACGCGGUCAACUCUGCAGGGCUGAUGAUAAACAUGCCUCUUCUCAUCUUGUCCUUCUCCUCUCUAAAGCAAGGUCAUUUCUGUGCUCAUCAGGCAGUGGCAGGGGUUGGGAGGAGGAGAGAGGGAAACACUGUGGUCAGGCUCUGGGGAGAGUUGACUAUAGUGUAGCUCUUGGAUUAUUUAUGAAUAUUGCCCUCAGAUUUAUUUUCACUCCACUCCCUCCAUUCAUAUUCCCAGAGACAACCAAGAGCCGACUGUAGAAAAAAAGACUUCCAGACACCUAGAAUAUAUAUCAAUAGACACUGUUUAAAAGGGGUACAAUCUUAUAGAAAACUAUGUAAUAAACAGAAUUGGAUGCAGAACUCAGACAUAAGAAAGCAAAAAAAAAGAGAGAUGAGGCUAUUUCUGAAUUUAGUCAUGACAUCUCCAUGGAUGCAGGAUGUUCAUACAGAUUUAUGCCUUUUCCAAAUUUGACUUGUUUGAUAUUGGAAAUGCAAUUUUACUGUUUUGAAGCCAAAGAUGCUGAAAUCAGCUUAUAUGUAUAGAUAUUUAAAGCUUGGGUAUCUUAUAUGUGGACUUACAUUGCUAAACAUUUUUAAAAUAACUUAAAAUGAAUCAAAAACGUGUUUUUUUAAAAGAAUCCCUGAGAUACAUACAAGUUUGAAAAUUAUUGAGAAAAUAAUUGCCUCUGCCAAAACCAAAUGGUAUGAAAAGGUAGUCUGAAUCAUUCAGCAUAUCUAAACAUAAUCUUGUUCUUCUCA
rnacentral:sRNA from 1 species